AUGAUAGUAAUGCAUGAGUUGCCUUUCUCAAUAGUUGAGUACAGUGGUUUUAGAGACUUCGUGAAAAGUUUGAAUCCCUUGUUCAGAAAUGUUUCUAGAAAUACUAUUAUAGAGGAGUGCAUGAAACACUAUAAUUUGGAGAGGUCAGUGUUCUCUGAACAUUUGAAGAAAUACAGUGGUAGAGUUGCUUCAACAGCGGACAUGUGGACAUCUAAUCAGACUUUGUCCUAUCUAUGCAUCACUUGCCAUUUGAUCACCAGCAAAUGGAUUUUGCAAAAGAGGAUCUUCAAAUUUUUUAUGGUGGAAACUCCACAUAACGGAGUAACAAUGUUUAAUGUUUUAUUAAAGAGUUUGCAGGAUUGUAAUAUUGAGGAACUCUUUAGUAUGACAUUAGAUAAUGCAUCAGUUAAAGGUACAAUGGUCAAUCAUCUAAGAAAAAAAAUCUGA
rnacentral:rRNA from 1 species